GUUGUUGUUAGUUUGUUCAUUUGUUUGUUUUUUAAGAGAAAUGGAGGAGGAGUGGAUCUGGGGAAGAAAGGAUGUGUGUGUGCUUGUGGAGGGACUGGGAGGAGAGGGGGAAGGGAAAUGCAGUCAGGAUGUGAUGUAUGACAAAAGAAUAAAAGAAAAAAUUAAAAUCUUCCAAUGCCUGGAAAGAAAUCAGAUGUCCAGCUACAUGAAAAUCAAAGAUACUAGUCACAUUUAGUUUAAUCAAGUCUACCCUAAGACAGCUUAUAAUAAGCUCUUGAGGUAAAGAUGAAGACGGGAUUUUCUAGGCCUCAUUAAAACAAUAAUAUAGGGAUGUUCCAAUUAAUCUGACAGCAAAGUUGUCAGCAGAAACUUCACAGGUCAGUAGAGAAAGGGGUGAGAUUUUUCACAGCUUAGGAAGAAAAAAAAAAACAGCAACAACUGAGAAUAUCUUACCCAAGAAGGUUAUAAUUUCAGAAAUGGAGGAGAAAUGAAGGCAUCCCCAACAAAAACCAAGAGAGUGGUCGCCACCAGACUUGUGUGUUCUACAAGAAAAUUUAAAGUAUGCCAAACAUAAAGGUACUUUUAAAACUGAAAGAAAUAGGUAGAUAAAUGGGAUUAGAAUUGAGAGAGAGAGAGAGAGAGAGAGAGAGAGAGAGAGAGAGAGAGAGAGAAACUACAUAGCAAAAGAAACAAAUGCCAGAAUGAAUAAACAGCCCACAGGAGGAAAAGGAUCUGUUCAAAUCAUAUUUUGACCAAGAGUUAAAAUCCAGGGUAUGUAGGAAAUCCCACAAAACUCAAAAGCAAAACACCAAAAGCAAAACAAGAAAGAACAAAAGUAUAUGUGCAAUAGAUUGAAAUAGGAAUUUCUCAAAAAAUGAUCUACAAAUUGACAGCAGGGACUCAGAAAAAAAAAUCUCAGCAUCACUAGCUGUCAAGGAACUGAAAAUCAAGACCAAGAGAAGAUGUCACUUUGCCACAGUGAAAUGGCUGCUGUCAAAAGGUUAAGCCAGGUAUGGUGUUCUUGGAUGACUGAGUUCUAUAAGUUUAAGGUCAGUCUGGACUGCAGAGUAAAGAUCCUUUCUCAGAAUAAAAAAGAAAGCAAGUUCAUAAACAAACAAAAAUUAACAAAUGCUGGUUAAGGAUGUGGAGAAAAUGCAGCCUUUGUAUAUUAAUGGUCUAAAUGUAUGUUAGUUAAUAAAGAAAUGGUGAAAACCCUAUUUAAUUUCCUUAAAAAUCUAAAAGUAAUACCACCGCAUGACUAAGGAAUUCUAUUGAUUAACGUAUUUCACAAGGAAAAAAAAAAUCACUGUACUCAAGGGUCAUUUCCACUCCCUGUCAUUCAGCAUGAUACGAGAAAUGGACAAGAAAUAUAACCUGCAGUCGUCCGCUGGUGAACACACGAAGGAAAUGCAGCACAUACAGAUGAUAUUAUUCCUUCAGAAAGUGAAUGAGACCUUGCUGUUCGAGACAUGGUCAAACUGGAUGAUCUCGUCCUUAUGAGAAACUGACUCCUUAUUUUUUAAACAAAUUCUUACCAUGUAUCCUCCAACCCCCACUGGCAUAGACUAGACUGGCCUCAAGCACACAUCUAACUCUGCCUCUGUGAUUAAAGUCAUGUGCCUGGCCACAUGUGGAAUUUUAAAAAGCAUAUACCAUAGAAACUGAACUGGUGGUUGACAGAGAGUGGGAGGAAGAGUGUAGAAUACAUGGGGACAGGAAAACCAAUGGGUACUAAGCCACAGUCGGAUGGAACAGGAGGUUCUGAUGUGCUAUUGCACAGCAAGGUGACUGCAGAUAAUAGUGUCUAUACAUGUCAAAGAACAAGAGGAAAAAUUUUUGACUAUUUUGGUGGCCUUCUCAUCACUCUCCUCACGGGACUGGUUGAAGGUUGACCCUGAUGCGCCACCAGAACUCACUCGGGGAGUCUCGAAGUAAGAACCACUGACUGAGGGGUGGGAUCUUACAUUUGGGGGCUCGUCCUGGGAUUUGAGGAGACCCCCGACUGAUCUGAGGGACAAAGACCAAGCUCUGCCACAGCAACAGGUGCCUAAGUGUUUGUCUAACUUCUGCUUUCGCUUUUGGCUCUUGAGCAUGGUGUGGCUGAAAAUCCUCUGGUCUGGUGCAAUUGCUGCGGGCAGAUAGAUGUGCCUUAACGUCGCCGUGACUGUGGGGAGUCAGGAGGACGCUUCAGCUCCCCCCACCCCCAGGAAGUCAGGAGGACUCUGCUCCUUUUAGGAAUGGCAAGAGGCAGAAUCGUUGGGAGUGGACCCAGUCUUGCUAUAACCUAGUUUCUGCGCCCAUGGCAGAGGCAAACUGUCUAUCUAACCUGGUUUCUGCACCUGUGGCAGGGGUGAGCUGUCUGUGUGUUGAUUGUCUUUCUGUAUUUGUUGGUGUUGGUUAUCUCAUUCUAUGUUCUUGGACUUAGACUGACGACAUUUUUGGACAGGGGACAGACUGAAUCUACCCUGUUAAACAUCCUAGUUAACCACCGGAGAGAAGUUAGGGAAAGAGGAGAAAACUUGUCAGCAGUAGUAAAGAAGGGCAAGUUAGUUACUCUCUACUUCUCCAAAUGGCCCACCUUCAGAAUAGGUUGGCCACCCGUAGGGACCUUUGACUUGCAGGUGAUCAAAGCAGUAGAGGAAAGAGUCCUUAGGCCAGGAUCCCUCAGGCACUCAGACCAAGUGCCCUACAUAGUUACCUGGAAGGAUAUAGUGGAGCCGCACCCCACCUCCUUGGAUAAAAGUUUGUUUGUUUGUUUGUUUGUUUGUUUGUCUCUGAGACUCUUGCAGGUUCUGUCCAUGAAGGAGAAGAACCUGUAGAGAACUACGAGUCUAUAAAGAACACUCUCCAGGACUGUAACACAGGGGUCCUCUACUGAUGGGUCCAUGAUGCUUGCACAGAGUGAAAUUACCUAAGAAUGUCCCUUUUGGGGAUUCAUUUCUGUUGUGAUCAAAGCAUUAUUGCUUUGACUUUGAAGCUCUUAUAGGAGAGAUGGCUUUGACACAGUCUGGAGGUUAUUGGGAGAGGCAUAAGAGGUAAAAAAAAUACACAUAUACUAGAAUUAGAUAUUGUUCUUCCAGCCAAGAUAGAAGACCAGGAUAAGGAUAAUGUGGCAUAAAUGUAUGUUUUGCAAAUCAGCCAACUUAAUCGGCGUGUAGGCUUGCCCUUACAUGAAGCACCCAGCAGCCUUGUGAUCAGCAUCAUUUCUAAAAGCAGUGUCAUAGAGUGAACACCAAUCCCCCAUCCCUUAACAAGGCAAAAAACUUUCCUGGCAUGCCCAAUUUAGUAGUGAAAAUGAGAUUUGUCUUUAGUGGUGAGAAAUCUCCAUGCCAUCUGAUAACUGAGGUUUGCAUUGUUCAGAGUAAUUAAUUGUGAUAGACAACUCCUAAAUCUCAGGGGUUUAACACAGUAUGAGUGUCUUUCUCAUUCUCACCGCAGCCCCACACUGGCCAGGAACAACUCUCCCUGCUGGAACAUCUGGAACACACACUCUCCAAGGUUGCUUCUACUGGGAGGCAGAAUGAUAGGAAGCACACACCAGCUUCAACUUGCCUCAACUGGAAAGAGAGACAGAGACCAUCGGUAAACUUAGUAAUCUGGCCCUAAGCCAAGGGAGGGAGCAAAUGAGAAGAGGAGAGGGAAGAUAUAAGCUUAUUCUAUGGGAAAAGGAAGUGCCCACAUAAGCCUUGUCUUCAUUGUACUUGGUAGAGGCACCACCACAGAGACAUUGCGUGGGAGUUUUCAUGAGUAUUUUAUGUUGUUGCCACUGUAACUAAGGAUGAUUCUUAAGCCAGACUCCAAAUGAAUAAUAGCACUUUUUUUUUUUUUUUUUUU
ensembl:lincRNA Gm43657 predicted gene 43657